AACUAUCGAUAAUCGAUAAAAUAUCGAUAAUAAUCAACAGUCACGACUCUAGACAAAUUCAAUUGAAAUACUAGUUACCUACUUAUCUAUCUAUAAUUCACGAAUAUAAUAAAGAAGAUAUAAAGAUCUAAAAAAGAUGAAAGGAGAGGAUAAUUUAAUCGUGGAAACGUUGAAAUAACCAAACAAACAUUUUCCACCGUUUAAGAAAUGAUGGCCCAUAUCUCAUUCGGGACACGGAACAAACUCGGAUCAGUUUUGAUAUGCAACAUUGUAUUUAACAUACCAUCCUUCACCUUAUUUCAUUUAUCUCUCUAAUUUUAUCGCAUCUGGUUGCUGCCACACCUCCAUCCAACUGUAGAUAUCGCACGUGGAUUUACGUGAGGCAACGUACGAUUGAAACAUUGGCAACGAGUUCGAGGAAGGAAAGAUUAUUUCUCGAAGAUAUGAAGAGGAAAGAAGAGAUGCGAGGCUUUUACAUAACAUAAUUGUUAAUAUAUAAAUAGCUAAAACACUGAUUAUAAAAUAAAUGUAAAAAGCACAGGAAAAUAUUGGUUGAGGUUUAUUUAUUCAUAUAAAUAAAUUUUUAUUAAAAAUCUUUGUUCAAAUAUA